GUGGGGAAUAUUGGGCAAUGGGCGAAAGCCUGACCCAGCAACGCCGCGUGAAGGAAGAAGGUUUUCGGAUCGUAAACUUCUAUCCUUGGUGAAGAUAAUGACGGUAGCCAAGAAGGAAGCCCCGGCUAACUACGUGCCAGCAGCCGCGGUAAUACGUAGGGGGCAAGCGUUGUCCGGAAUGAUUGGGCGUAAAGGGCGCGUAGGCGGCCCGGUAAGUCUGAAGUGAAAGUCCUGCUUUUAAGGUGGGAAUUGCUUUGGAUACUGUCGGGCUUGAGUGCAGGAGAGGUAAGCGGAAUUCCCGGUGUAGCGGUGAAAUGCGUAGAGAUCGGGAGGAACACCAGUGGCGAAGGCGGCUUACUGGACUGUAACUGACGCUGAGGCGCGAAAGUGUGGGGAGCAAACAGGAUUAGAUACCCUGUAGUCC
rnacentral:rRNA from 1 species